rnacentral:misc_RNA from 1 species
CAACCCUCAAAGCCCCGGCUUUGGUGUUGGGGCGCCCGGGUCCCUCGCGGCCCGGGGCCCCCAAGUACAUCGGCGGGCUCGUCGGUACACUGAGCGCAGUAAAACGCGGUAAAACGCGCCCUCGCUCGGCUGCCACCUUCGUGUCCCCUGCCGCUAAACCCCCCAAUUUUACAA